rnacentral:ncRNA from 1 species
AAAAGUUUGAUCUUGGCUCUUAUUUUAUUUAUUCUUUAUUUUACAUGUAAAUUUUUGUGUGAAUUACUUUUAAUUUUAAUAUUUGGAAGUAAAAUUUUUAAUCGCAGUAUUUUGUAUUGAUCAUUAAGGUGACUUUGAAUCGGUGAAAGUUUUAGUUCAGGACAAAUUUGUGCCAGCAUCUGCGGUUAUACAAAUUGUGCAAAUAAAAGCUCUUGGUUUAAGUAGUUAAUUGUUAUUUUUAGGAUUAAAUUAUAAAUUUAUUUAGGUGAAAUUUAAUUUUAUUCAAUAUUCUUAAUUUAAUUAUGAAGCUAUGAAAUUUAUUUUAAAAACUAGGAUUAGAUACCCUAUUAUUUUAAAUGUUAAAAUUAACCUGGGUAGUAUUAGAUAUGAUCUUGAAACCUAAAAGAUUUGGCGGUGUCUUAGUCUUUUUAGAGGAACCUGUUCCGUGAUCGAUAGUCCACGAUUAAUUUUACUGAAUUUAUAAAGUUUAUAUACCGUCGUUACCAGAAUAUUUUAUAAGAAUAUAAUUAUCUUAAAUUUUUAUAAAAAUUUAUUUCAGAUCAAGGUGUAGCUAAUAAUUUAGAGGAAAUGGGUUACAAUAAAACUAAUUUACUACGGAUAUGAAAUUGAAAUAUUUUAUUAAAGGUGGAUUUAACUGUAAAUUUAUUUAUGUUAAUAAAUUGAUUUUAGCUCUAAGACAUGUACACAUCGCCCGUCGCUCUUUUUAAAUAAAGAUAAGUCGUAACAUAGUAGGUGUACUGGAAAGUGUAUCUAGAAGGA